rnacentral:rRNA from 1 species
AUACUGUUGCUAAUGAAGUGCCAUUGAAAUUCUAUGCGUAAUUUCCAUUCUUCAGUCGCCGAAUUAAGUCAGGAAUGAGAGUGGAUUGGUUGAGUCAUUUGUUUUUGUUGUUGUUGUAGAUAUAGUAGAGUGUCCUCAACGGCCACGCACCUAGACUUAAAGUGUCCGUAGGUGGCUUUUCAAGUCCGCCGUCAAAUCCUAGAGCUCAGGCCUGGACAAGCGGUGGAAACUACCAAGCUGGAGUACGGUAGGGGCAGAGGGAAUUUCCGGUGGAGCGGUGAAAUGCAUUGAGAUCGGAAAGAACACCACGGCGAAAGCACUCUGCUGGUGACACUGAGAGACGAAAGCUAGGGGAGCAAAUGGGAUUAGAGAUCCCAUUAGUCCUAGUUGUAAACGAUGGAUACUAGGUGUUGUGCGACUCGACCUGUGAAGUGCUGUAGCGCGACUCGACCUGUGAAGUUGCGAAGUGCUGUAGCGCGACUCGACCUGUGAAGUGCUGUAGCUAACGCGUUAAGUAUCUCGCCUGGG